GUUGCUUUCACGUCUAUCGUGGCCAUUUUCAGCAUUAAAAGGGUUGAUGAUAGGUCAGGAACAAAGUCCCUUGCACCCCUUGUUAUUGCUGGUGCACUGAGCAUCAUGUACUGGAGUUUCUUUGAUGAUCUUCGGCCAUAUGCGGUAAUCCAGUUCAUGCCAUGCAUUGUAAUACUUGUGAUGACUAUAGUUAUUCCACCAAUGUAUACACAUUAG
rnacentral:rRNA from 1 species